ACCUCAUCAUGCAGAUGGUUUUCCUUUUGUUUUCGCUCAUGGGUGUUGCUUUCGGUCUUGAGGUCCGUCAGUCCCGCUCCGACAUCAUUGUGAAACCUGGAGAAAAAGUUCACAUCUUCUGCACUCACGAGAAAACGGACUACUGGAUAAUGCUCUGGUACCGGCAGCCGCCUGCAGACACAGCUCUGAAACUAAUCGGACAUUUGUACAUGAGCGACAUCAAGAUGGAGGACGAAGACGACCGAAACGUCCAAAUCGAUGGAGACUUGAGCGGCAGCACAGCAAAGAAUUCCUCUCUGGUGAUCAACGUUGUGGAUCCGAAACACUCGGCUGUUUACUACUGCGCAGCACGAGAAGCACACUGAGGAAGAAUCCUGCCUGUGCUUUACAAAAACCUGUUUUAUCACCAUCAUCAGUGGUUUGGCAGAAGAAUUUGGGAAAAAAAACUACUCUCAAGCACCUGCUUCUCUGUUUUGAAUUGAGCGUCUUCAUGCUAAAAAGUGACAUUGUUCUAUUAAAAAAAUUAAGUAAAAAAAAAAAAGAAUCCCAAAAAACAAAACUCACCCAAAGAUAGUAGCUAAUAAAUUAGACCUAAGCUUUACAGAGAACUAGGUUAAUCAAAGUUUAUUUCUAAAGUUUAUUUCUCAAUCUACUAAAAAAAAAAAAAAGUAGAUUGAGAUUACUUUUUCACAAAGGUCCAGGUCAGGUUGAAUUUUUUGUUUCUGGUUAUUCUUGUUUGACACUAAAAUGAGUUUGUCAUGAAUGUAUAAAAUUGUAUUUUGGUUACAGACACAUUUGAGGUGAUUCUAUGUUGUGUUGAAAUUGUUUAAUUGGCUUUUUGAGUUGAAAAGUUAAGGAGCCGCUGCUUCCGUUAAAUCUUGAUGACUAAUACAGGCCUGUUUUUAAGGGUCUAUUCAAAACAUUUCAUUACCUUAUAAAUCACUGAACGGCUCAGCACCAAAAACACAUCGAAGAUCUGUUGUUGUUGUUGUUGUUGUUGUCAUAUCAACCUCCUUAGCUCUUCUGGUUCUGGUUCUGCUCUGCAUCCCCAGAACCAGAACCAAACACGAAGAAGCAGCAUUCAUCUUCUAUGCAUCACGAAUCUGGAACAAACUCCCAGGAAACCGUAUAAAAACAGCUGAAACACUGAGUUAAUUUAAAUCAUUUCUGAUGACGGCAUUUGACAAAAUAUAAUGUUUACUGCUUGUUUCACCCUGAGUGACUGUGUGAAGUUUUUAUGGCGUAAAAGCAAAUUUAAUUGUCUUGCUGCUGAAAUGUGAAAUAUAAAUAAGUUUGACUUAAA